GACGAACGCUGGCGGCGUGCCUAAUACAUGCAAGUAGAACGCACAGUUUAUACCGUAGCUUGCUACACCAUAGACUGUGAGUUGCGAACGGGUGAGUAGCGCGUAGGUAACCUGCCUGGUAGCGGGGGAUAACUAUUGGAAACGAUAGCUAAUACCGCAUAAUAUUAAUUAUUGCAUGAUAAUUAAUGGUAAGGUGCAAUUGUACCACUACCAGAUGGACCUGGGUUGUAUUAGCUAGUAGGUGAGGUAACGGAUCAACUAGGCGAAGAUACAUAGCCGACCUUGAGAGGUGGACCGGCCACAUGGGAAUUGGACACGGCCCAAGCUCCUACCGGGAGGAAGAGUAGGGGAUCUUUCGGAAUGGGAGGAAGUCCGACCGGAGCACGCCGGGGGGAUGGAGGAGGUUUUCGGGUCGUAAAACUCUGUUUAAAGGGAAGGACGGGUGUGAGAGUGAAAAGUUCACACAGUGACGGUAACUUACCAGAAAGGGACGGCUAACUACGUG
rnacentral:rRNA from 1 species